GACGAACGCUGGCGGCGUGCUUAACACAUGCAAGUCGAACGGAAAGGCCCUGCUUUUGUGGGGUGCUCGAGUGGCGAACGGGUGAGUAACACGUGAGUAACCUGCCCUUGACUUUGGGAUAACUUCAGGAAACUGGGGCUAAUACCGGAUAGGAGCUCCUGCUGCAUGGUGGGGGUUGGAAAGUUUCGGCGGUUGGGGAUGGACUCGCGGGUUAUCAGCUUGUUGGUGGGGUAGUGGCUUACCAAGGCUUUGACGGGUAGCCGGCCUGAGAGGGUGACCGGCCAGAUUGGGACUGAGAUACGGCCCAGACUCCUACGGGAGGCAGCAGUGGGGAAUAUUGCACAAUGGGCGGAAGCCUGAUGCAGCAACGCCGCGUGCGGGAUGACGGCCUUCGGGUUGUAAACCGCUUUCGCCUGUGACGAAGCGUGAGUGACGGUAAUGGGUAAAGAAGCACCGGCUAACUACGUG
rnacentral:rRNA from 1 species